UGUCGUUCAGAUUCAGAAGCCCCUGUUGCAUAUGUUUCGACAGUGCGUUGGGGGGCACUUACACGAGCUCUUGGGGGAGUCCCCGUAGGUGUAGAGCUGGUCCGUGUAGUUGUUGAUGGCCCCGACGACGCACAUCCCCUGCUCCCCGCGUGAGUUGUGGCAAUCCCCUGAAAUUCACACAGCCACAUGAGCCCACGAUCAAAAACCCAACACAAACUUCAACACUUUAUGCCUGACUCUUCUACUAGUGUCUGCUACCACACUGCCUAAUCAUCUUGUGAAAUUUUUUCACUUGCUAGUCUAUUCAUUUGGCGACCGCACGUAAUAUAUCCACUAAUAAUGCCGUCGCAUAUAUAUAUAUAUAUAUAUAUAUAUGCUUCAUUAAUAAUAAUAUAGUAUUCCCUCCGUAAACUAAUAUAAAAGUGUUUAGAAUACUAAAGUAGUGAUCUAAACACUUUUAUAUUAAUUUACAGAGGGAGUAGGUUAGUAUGUGGUCACAUCCAUUCCAUCAUCAUCCAUGUGACCAUGUGACUGUGAUCGCCGGCGUCCGUCCGUCCGUCGCGCUCGCUCGCGGGCAAGCCCACAUGCCUGCCGCGCAGCGAAAGAGAACAAGCACAGCGAUAUUCUGUUGUCGCCCGAUCAGAUCAGAUGGCAGCAGAUCGGCCUCACUUGCCCACGUGCAGUUCUUCCUUUUUUUGAGGGAGUGCAGUUAUUUAGGUGAUCUGAUGAGAUGGAGGAACACUGUCUGCUCUGCUCUGACGAAAACGAUCGGUGGAAUCGUGUCGGGGGAUGCGUGAAGCAAGCAAACUAAUUAGGCUCAGAGAGUGGGAGAACCCUUUGUCUUGACUCAACCUCUCCCCUCCCCAACAAGCAACAUCGCCGGUUGGUCCCGGAUCACAAGAUGGCAUAUAUGCGAUAGGCAUGUGCAAGCAAUGGAUCUGCCGAUACCUCCCCCUCAUGCAUGCAACCAAUCUUAUCUCAAAACAAAAUUUCUUGUUAUAUUGUCCUACAAAUGUUUAUAUUCCUUUAUUCUUAAAAAAAACUCUUAUUUUCUCUUCGUUGUUAGCAAAUCCCCCGUCAGUCCGUUGUCUUUCUUCCCCCUUCCGUAAGGUAAGCCGGCGAGCACUUGUGGAUUCGCCUCCCCUCUGCCUGCUGCUCCGGGCGCUCGGUGGCGGGGAGGAGAAUCCUGGUACCUCGGCUUCUGCUAGUAGAUAAGUUAGGGUUUUAGUCCACGCAGGACGCUCGGAUGGAUGACGACGCUUCUUCGAGUCGGUCUUUCGGACAUUGAUCCUCCUUCAGUUCGUCUAUCGGGACGGAUUAGAAGGAGCGCCGGUGUACACUCAUGACAGCUUCUCGAGGCAGCGAGGUUAGUGUUUGUCAUUGUGUGUACGCGACGACGAGAUUUGGUGUUAGGUUUUUUAUAGAUCAAUUAAAGGGAUCAACGACGACGACUACGGCUCCAUGGCACUGGUCCUUGGGGUAGGUGUACGAAACUUCCUGGCCAUCAUCAAUAAGGUCAAGCCGACUCCGGUAUGGGAGCGACGACAACAGGGCAUCGGUGGCUCGUUCUGACGGUAGCAAUGGUCGUUCGGUGGUUCAGAGACCUCAUUGUAUUUUUAAAAUCAUAUUGGUUUUUUUUGUAUUUUUGAUAAUUUUUUUUAUAAUAGAUCUAAGUCUUUUCGGCCAAAAAAAAAAGCUGAAUGUGUGACAAUACUAGUGCAUUUUCCCGGUGCAUUUGUUUCGCCGUUUUGCUAAUUCCAUGUCGAUGUUUUUUCCCCUGUAAAUCUCAACCCUCUAAAACUGCGCAUUCGGUAGACUUACACUAAGCUAUAAAUACAAUUUCAAUAUUCCUACACGAAAAAGGGUAGGCACAUAAUUGUCUUACAAUGAACAUCCUAGACAAUUGUUGAAUAUCAAAGUCAUUGGUUUAUCUGGACAUGUGUAUUUUUUUAAAGACUAUAUGCGUUGUCAGAAAAUAGAAAAGCAUUUUCUUGUUGGUUUAGCAUGCGGUAACUAGUCAUGGCGUUAAUUAAGCUCUGUUCGGUUUGCAUCAGAAACCAUAAUUGAUUGAACUAGAAAGGUACUACUAGGAAAGAGGGGGGGAGUAGGAUGAACUGACGGGAGAAGUUGAAGUUGCAGACGUUGGGGGUGUUGGCGUAGUGGAGCGGGCUGGCCCAGUGGUAGCGGAAGCGCAUGGUGUCUGCCCACGGGCACAUCGUCGACAGCUCCCCGCCCGCCGACUCCGGCAGCAGGUCCUGCACCGCCGCCGCCGCCUCCUCCGACAGGUACUUCUCGGCGAUCUUGCAGACCAUGAUGUGGCCCUCCUUGCCCCACGCGUCGGCGCGGCGGGGCGCGGAGGCGGCGAGCAGCGAGACGAGGAGCAGCAGCAGCGGCUGCGGGCGCGGUGCCGCCAUCUCCUCCCCUCUGCUCUGCUCUGCUCCGCCUCCUUGCCCUACUCUGCUUCUUGCGCCGUUGACGGAGGAAGGGGGCAGGGGAGCUGGGUCCUCUGCCUCUUUUUCUUUUCUGCUGGUCGUCUUGGGAUGGGGAAGUUGCUUCGUGUUUGGGCUUCCUUUAUGUACUCCGGGUCUCGCAGGCCGCAACGUGACGUAUAAUUUGGUGGCACGACGGUCUAACAGGGCCGGGCUGAUCGUGGCCCAGAAGAACUCUAACAGAGAGAGUCCAUAUGCUGCAUUUUGAAUUUUGCAAUUUUAGUCACGAGUUUAGGAGCUCAAAUUAUGAAGCUCACAACUUAGCGAAGCAUGCUCUAUCUUUCGGUGGUGGCCGCCAUGUUUGGUUAGGACACCCCGGGAAUCUACCAUUCGUCCCUGUAAAUAUCGUGACGAAUUAAUAAAGCUUCGCAACGUUGCCUAUUUUUUCUUUGAAGGCUGGCGACGAGAUGUGCAAACUCAGUGCUGCAAUAUCCCAAUCUCCAUUUUUCUAAAAAAAAAAUUGGAAACCUCAAUGUCCAUAAUGUUUUUUUUCUUUUGUUCAAAUACUUUGAUUGCCUUUAAAAUCAAACGUUUUUUCACACAAUUCGAAAAGCAAUCAUGCACAUAACUUCGAAAAAAUUGCAUAAACAAAAAUAUCUAGCCGACGACAUGUACAAAUCACGUGUUGCUCGUGUGUGCAUCGGCCCCCGUCCUCAACAUGUGCACCGCCCCCUCCUCUGGCGGACCUAGAGUGCAUGAUUGGAUUGCCAUUUGUGUCUUCUUCAAAAAUUCUCUCAACACUAAAUCUAAGGAGCUCGCAUCCAACAUGAUGAAUUGGUUCUCCUUGGCUAUCUGUUCAGUUGUGGCUCGACGCUCCUUAAUUUUGAGCCUAUGCGCCUCCUUCUUCUUAUCAAUUCGUCUUCCGUCUUGCAUAGCAUCCCACCUUGCCCUCCUCUCUUGAGGUCUUCUUCUCCUCCAUCUCCACUUUUUAUUGUGUAAUCUUCUCCGCAUGCUCAUUCCUUGUCCUCAUCAAGUCUCAGAUUUUUUUUCAUUGCACAUUUGCUAAAAAAAUUCACGGUCACCUCGCAUUCAAUCAAACAAGCCGAAACAAAGGUAAAGGAUGCCUUUUUACCUCAUUGAGACGUUUCUGGUCCGACAUUGGACUCGGAAGGUGUCGAGUUUCACCCGCCUUCGGAAUGAAGGAAGAAGGGGAACACCACAACCCGUCUUCUUCUUCCUUUUCAUUGAAGGCCACUGCGGUACAAGCAGGAGGAGGAUGACACCUACAUGCGGUGGCAUAGGGUUUUUCACCUAUGUGCCCGACUCGCCAUCGGCAUUGGUGGACGAGAUACUGGCAUAGGCGGUGGAGGGAGGCCGUCGGAGGCGCAACACUUGUUGAAGUCUUGGGAUCCAACUCCAAACCAAUGGACUAGGACAUGGGGGUUGAGGCGGCGUCCAUGAUGUCGUCAACAUGGACUGGAGACGACCGGAAGUGGUUCCAGACGGCGCUACAAUAAAUGAGAGGAGGCAGCAACAUGGGUGGAAAGAGUUGGUUCUCUGCCCCUUUUUGGGGGGCAACCUUUCUUUUCUGUUGGUCUUCUCAUGACACGGGGAAGUUCCUUCUGAUUUGGGCUUCCUUUGUAUACUCAGGGGGUCGGGUCUUGCAGGCCACGAUGAAAUGUUGGGGAGCCCCAAUUUCGCACGUAGGACGACGAAUAGCCACCAAUGCGCACCGCCUCAACGCAUUUUGGGCCAACCAAUAUGGGGGCCGGGCACUCAUAUUUUUCAUCUUCUUUCAUUAUUUCCUUUGUAUUUCUUGUUUUUUACAAUGAGAACUGUUCAUGAAUCUCAAAUUUCAAAAAAAUGACCGGAAUUGUUAAUCUUAAUUUCAAAUAAUUCGCAAAUUUUAAAAAUGUUCAUAAAAUUUUAAAAAAUUCUUAUAAAUUUUAAAAAUGUUCAUGGACCUAACUCUCACCAUUUUUCUUAAAAAGUUAACCAAUUAAAAAAGAUUUCUGAUUCAAAAAUGUCCAUGAAUUUGAUAAUUGUUUGUCAAAUAUUUUUUCAUUAAUUUUAGAAAUUCUUCCCAAAUUUUUAAAAUGGUCAAGAUCUCAAAAAAUGUUUGCAAAGUUGUAGAAAAAGUUUGGAAAUUCGAAAAAUAUUCACAAUUUGAUAAAAUGUUCAUGAAUUAGAAAUUUUUUCAUGAUUUCUCAUAAGAUGUUCACGAAUUUUAAAGAUGUUCGAAAAUGAAAUAGAAAAUAAAAAUAAAAAGGAAAAUAAUAAUAAAAUAUAAAAGUAAUAAAAUAUAAAAAUUAGAAAAAAGGGAAGAAAAUUAAGAAGAAAACUUAAAAAUAGGGGAAAAUACGGCCUGAAUGGUUAUAUAACCUUUGCAAAUCGGAAGAGAGAGCAUGCUGUUACGGGUUAAAAAGGAACCACAAUUCUAUUUAUCGCAUAGGUCAGAGAAAAUUGACGAAACACAAAACUUCUGUCACGAGCAUGACGCGUCAAUUGGCCCGGCCCAUUCGCAUUUUGUCACCCUACCAGUUUUCCUUCCUUUUUUAUUUUAUUUUUCAAUUACGUUCUCACUUUUUAUUUUCAGUUUUUCACUUUUUAUUUGAAGUCAGAUAUAUUGUAAUUGUGUUUGAAUCUGUGAGCAUUUUUAGAAUUUAAUGUUUUUUUAAAUUGGCAUUUUUGUUCGAAAUUGACAAACAUUUUUUAAUCAAAAAAGUUUUUUAAUUCAUGAUCAUUCUUGAAUUAAAGAACUUCUUUUAGAAUUUGUGUGCAAUUAUUGCAAUUUUUUUUUGAAUUCGUGAACAAUUUUUUAAAUUCAUGAUAUUUGAAGUCGUAAAUAUUUUUAAAUCAUGGAGAUAGUAUGAUAUCCCGCACAUUUUUCAGAUUGUUGAACAUUUUUUAAAAUUUGGAAUAAUUUCCAAAUUCGUGAAGUUUUCUCAGGUACUGGCGUGUUAGGCUGGUCGCUCGCAUUGAUUAUCGGUUAUGUGUAUACACCCGUGGUUUAGAUGGCUUAGGUAGUGUGAUUAGAUAUAUGAAAAAAAAUUAAUUUGGUGCACCAUUUGUUCCAUAUAUAUUUCACAUUGAUUAUUUCCACCCAUUCUAUUGGAAUUGGCUCAGGAAACUGGAUGCACCUGCCACCAUGGAUCAUAGAAGGUUAGAUCAGCUGAUUUGUACUAUCUAAGUCCUGUUUCGAAGAAAGGUACAACUAAUUUAUAUCAGGUCACAAAUAAACAGCGACGCACAAAUGUAAAGGAAUGAAAGAAGUUGAGAGAAAAUAAAACGUGGCUUUGAACUUCACUUGUAGAUUGGUUAUUAUUGUUCAAGCAAACAGUCUAUUAUAGACGGUUGAAUUAUAUUACAACUUCACAACAAUUGAAUUUCAUGUUCGUUAAAAUUUCCGAAUAAAAUUUUAAAUAUUAUAGAAUUUUUUAGAAAGUAAGAAUUAUUUUUAAAAUAAUAAUUGUUUUAGAAAUUCACGAUUUUUUUUUGAAUGAACAUUUUUUAGAAUUCAGAAACAAUUUCUGAAAUUCAUGAACGUUUUUGAAUCGGCAAUGUUUUUUGAAAUUUGCAAACAUUUUUUAAUCAACAAACUUUUUUUAAAUUCAUGAAAAUUCUUGAAUUGAAGAACUUCUUUUAGAAUUCGUGAGCAAUUAUUGUGAAUAGUUUUUUAAUUCAGGAAUAUUUUUUAAAAUUCAUGAUUUUUUGAAUUCAUAAACAAGUUUAAAUCAUGGAAAGUUCAUGAAAUCCCAAUUUUUUUUCAAAUUGUUGAAAGUUUUUUGAAAUUGGAAUAAAAUUAAAUUUGGUGCACCAUUUGGCAAAAAAUUAAAUUAAUUUGGAAUUGAGAUAUAUGAAUAAAAUUAAUUUGGUGCACCAUUUGUUCCAUAUUGAUUUCACAUUUAUUAUUUCCACCCAUUCUAUUGGAAUUUGCUCAGGAAAUUGAAUGUACUCGCCACCAUGGAUCAUAGAAGGCUAGAUCAGCUGAUUUGUACUAUCUGAGUCCUGUUACGAAGAAAUGCACAAGUAAUUUAUAUCGGGUCACAGAUAAACAGCGGCGCACAAACGUAAAGGAAUGAAAGAAGUUGAGAGGAAAUAAAACGUGGCUCUGAACUUCACUUGUGGAUUGGCUAUUAUUGUUCAAGCAAAUAGUCUAUUAUAGACGGUUGAAUUAUAUUACAACUUCACAACAAUUGAAUUUCUGAGUGCUGUGCCAAGGCUUUGUGACUCUUAUUACAGAAUGGCAAACUUAUUGAAGCGGUAAUUUAUGAGAAACUGGCGUGGCAACGGCAGCUACAAUACCUUGCAGCCCCGUAUGUAUACACUUCAUGUACAAAGUAUAGCUCUUUUACUGUACGUAUAACGGCAUGGUAUCUGCUUUCUUCUUGUCAAAUAUACGGUUGAGUAUCAGCGCGAGUCUGACGCCGGCCUGUGCUAGUCUCUUCUCCACGACCGGGUAGCGGGUGAAGUAAUAAUCAUCUGCAUUUCGGAAGAGUUGGGUAACCAUCCAUGCAUUAGCGCUGCAUGUACUCUAGCCAGGCAGAACUCACAAGCACUGCUGUGAAUGUGGACACAUAAUCACGUACCUCCGAGGGUAAUGUUCUGCACCACAUCCUUGUAGGCGUAGUUGCAGGACAAGUGUAUGCUCUCGAUCGCGUAGCUGCAACGUGGAUUCGGUGCCAUACCAUGUCAAAUAUUGUGAUCAAAUUAGUUGCACACAGGACAUGAACUGAAAGAAAGUGCAAGUGUUUGGAUAUGAAUCCUACUCAUUUGCGCAGGUCGCCCUUUUGUUGGCGCAGUUCUCCCAGUGGCCGACAUCGUCGGACCAUCCUUCCUGCAGUUCACGGCUAGCAUUAGCAUUAGUGUUUCUUUUUUUUUUAAAGCAACAUGGCUUUAUUACUCAACGUGCGGGCAAAUCGCCCAUAACCCUAUAUAUUGAGUAUAAGAAUUAUUAGAAAGUAUAUGAUAGACUAGGAUUUGGUCCUGUCUUGUCUUGUACUUUAAAUUAGUCUUUGUACUCCUGUAUAUAUAUGCACACGAGGCUGAAACAAUACAAUCAACAAUAAUUUCAUUAAAUCUCUCUCUCCCUUCUAACAUGGUAUUAACCUAAUCGAUCCUAAACCCUAGCCGCCGCCGCUUCCGCACCCGCGCGCCGCCUUCGGGGCGGUCGGUCUACAUGACCGUCGCCGGGGGCCACGCCGCCCGUACCUAGGUUUCGUCCGCUGGUCGUGUUGACCGGCUGCCCUAAAGUCUUUUUCCCGAUCCCUUGCUUCGGGUUUCUCUCGCCGAUCGUUUUGAUCGGUGUCUAUUUUUUAGUUUUUCGAUCUAAAAUCGGUUUGUGUCGCCCGCCGUCAUCGUCGACCCUCGCACGCCUCCACUCCGACUUCGGCAUCGACUACACUAUCGUCUUCUCCGACUCACAGCCUUGCGUGCUACGCUGAGGCCCGGAACGGCCGCUGUCCACGCCUCCGUCCGCAUGUCGGUAUGCGCUGACAGUCGUCGCCUUGAUCCGAUCAGGGAUCCUACAUCAAGUCAACCUCCAUCCACUUCAAGCAGGAUCGGACGGGACAUACGUGCGUGGGUGCACCGGCUUUGCUCGCAUGGCGUGCGUUGCGCUAGCCCGAUCCGUGUUGUGUGCACACGUUGGCUGAUUGUUUGUAUAUACGUACAAAUCAACUUCCUGUCCAGCACGUGUGGUCUUUGCUUAGUUGCAUGCUCAUGUGACGCGACCGCUGCAGAACCCGUCGUCUCCGUCUUCGCGUCCAGUCACUCCAUCUUCAUUGCAUGUUUGGUCUGAUCAGUUGUAUACAUGCCUCAUCUACACCGUACGAUCGACCUGCCCGUUGGUGUCGCGCACCUUCGCAGGCCUCAUAAAAAACGUCCCGAGUUCAGCAUGCACCUCCACCGAUCGAGCAACGGGUUGCCGCUGCGUCGUCCCAUCGGGCCGCAACGCCGCCGUCCCGUGGUUUUUUUCCGGCUGCACCGACCCGCGUCACCGCUACGUCGCCCCUUCAGACCAUAGUGUCGCGGCCCGCGGUCCCAGCCACCCCGAGGUUGUAUGCUUCAGGCCGUCCCGUGGCUGCACCGACCCUCGCGCCGUCGCUGCGUCACCCCAUCCGGUCAUAGCGAGCGUGGCACGCGGUCCACGCCGCUGUCCUAAGAUCGUCCCCGCGGCUGCACCGACUCACGAACCGCCGUUGCGUCGCCCCUUCGGGCCGCAGCGUCGCGGCCUGCGGUCCCCGCCGUCGCCCCGACCCGCCUGCCGCCGCUACGUCGCCCCUUCGGGCCCUAGCGCCGCGGCCCGUGGUCCACUUCGUCGUCCCCGCGCGCCGACUUCCCGUGAUAUGCGCCGCGUCGUCUCCCUUGGCGCGAGAACGCCACUGUCUGCGCCGGUCUUCGUCACGCUGUCAGGAUUCUUCGCCUACUUCGAGCAUCGCCACCACGCUUCUAACCUAGCCGCCACUGCCGCCGCUCUUCUUCGGCCGCUGCCGCCGCUACCCUCGUAGCCGCCGCAGCCGCCCGUCCACCCCAUUUGUCUUCGUCCAGCUCCAGUCCGUCGCCAGCGUCGCUGUCAUCUACCCCGACCGCUUCAUUUACUCCGACAACCGUGGGCGACAUUGGCCCCGCGCCGAUUGGCCCGCAACCGUCGUCGAGUCCUUCUCUGCUGGCCUCUCCGACUUCUUCGACAUGGCGUAUGGCUCGUGCAAGUCCCAGUCUACGCAUGUCCGGUGUUGGCAACACCACCGCGUGCCUUCGUCCACGACGUGUCCUCGGGCCUGGCAAGCCUGGUGCCAGCGCAACGCGUCGUCAACAAUGUUUUCUUCCUAGCGCACCCCUACUUUGACACCACUGCGCCCAUGCUAACUCGGCGCCCCCUUGCGCCCGUGACUCCACGGUGACUUUCUCGACACCAGCUACCCCGACUCGACAUCGACCACGGUAUUCUUCGCACGGCUACCUCAAUCACGGCUUCACCACCCACGCUCUCGGCUACAUCGUCGGUUUUCACUCCAGCCACGGCUCCGCGAUGCAUCGGCCGUUACGACUAGGGGUGGGGUGGGUGGGGGGGGGGUCUGUUGGCUUACCUUCAGAUUCUUCUCCAGUCUUACCGUCUGCCUCGCUACCGUUGUGACUGCGGGGUGAUAUUGAGUAUAAGGAUUAUUAGAAAGUAUAUGAUAGACUAGGAUUUGGUCCUGCCUUGUCUUGUACUUCAAAUUGAUCUUUAUACUGCUAUAUAUAUGCCCAUGAGGCUCAAGCAAUACAAUCAACAAUAAUUCCACCAAAUCCAUCUCUCCCUUCUAACAAUUAGAAACACAAGAGAGCGGCCGGCAGUAUUUUGAGUUGUUGGCAGUCUAGUGGUGUGCUCACCGUGAGGUUCGUCUGGAGGGCGCCCACCAUGGUGUCCAGGCUCUUGUUGUAGAAGUCCUUCAUCACCGUGUCGAUGAUGCUAACGUCCCACACCUGCCAACACACACCAAACACUCCGAGAAGUUCAGUCCAGACCAAAAACCAUACCAGCUCUGAUGAACACGACUCCUGUGUGGCAGGGAUACACGUACGUGGUGGAGGUUGGCCUUCCUGCGGUACCAGCGCACCAUGAUGGUGUUGCCGCCCUCGUCCUCCUCGUAGCCGACGUGCAGCGGCUGGUGCACGUCGCCCACGAAGUGCGCCAGGAACAUCAGGCUCUCCGUCAGGUUGUCUGCGUUUCGAUGCGAGCCAAUGUUGUUAAGAAAUCAGAAUUGUUGCGUGUUCUGACAGGAAGUAAGCUCAUGGCACUUACAUGAACUCUUGGGAGAAUCCCCGUAGGUGUAGAGCUGGUCCGUGUAGUUGUUGAUGGCCCCGACGACGCACAUCCCCUGUUGCCCGCGAGAGUUGUGGCAGUCCCCUGAAAUUUACCCAGCCACAUGAAAUCACGCUUGGUUGAUGCUCAACGGUCAUAACAAUUGUGCCCGCCCGGGCCCGGCGGUUCUACCAGUCAGUGUCAGUCUCUGCUAGCUACUACAC
rnacentral:lncRNA from 1 species